GCCCAGGUGGUGAAAUCGGUAUACACGCAUGUUCGAGGGGCAUGUGCCUGAAUAAGGCGUGCGGGUUCAAGUCCCGCCCUGGGCA
rnacentral:tRNA from 1 species